AAUUUAGAUAGCAGUUAUGGGAGUUCAUAUUAAAGAGUUCCUUCUUUAUUUCGCCGUAAAGUCGUGUUUUAUGUAAUUAACACCACAGUUGGAACAAUUAAAUUUUAUUGUUAUAGCGGCAUAAACAAUUCUAAAUGGAAAGUAACGCGUUGCCAUGCUGAAGACUCCGAACAUUUUAGAAGACUUGUUUUUUCAGAUAACUUCAAUACUAAACACCGCUCAAAAGGACGCUUUAGAAUUUUGGUGUCAUGACAAAAAGUUCCUUAUCACAAUAAACAAACAAGGCUGUUUUUAAAUGAA